GACGGGAUGGUUGUGAGCGGGACAGAAACUCCACCACAAGGGUUCUGGGGGUACUACAGGGACUAAAGGAAGCAGUGUGAUCAGUGUGAAAGCAGCAAGGCCAUGAUUUAUUUCUUGGGCGUGUAGUUUUCUCCCGAGGCCUCUGCUUGGUUAUUUUACCCAGCAUCGGUGCCAAAGGAGAUUUCCCCAAAGGGAAAAGUACUGCAGUGCUCGACGCAUUACAGUCCUUUCCCGUUUGCAAGCUCUCCCACACAUUCCUUCUUCUGUUCCCAAAUCACAGGAGACGACGAGAAAGAGAACAGACCACCUGUCCAGAUAAUUUGCCUUUGGAGUCUGCAGGGCUGGUGAAGGCAUCCUGAGAUGGGGGAGGCCCCUGGGGACCUCCACAGUCAGGGCUCCCACCUCCUCUCCCACACCGCUCUGCCUCAUGCCCUGGGUUGCCUGUCUGACUGUCUCAAGACUGGGGGUUCUCCGGUGAGCAGAUGGCUGCUUAGCGUCUGAGGGGCAGACACCAUGCCGUGGUGACAGCGUGAUCCCUUGAUGGAAAGGCCACCAGAACCACUGGUAGUGCAGCUGGACACUGCGGAGCCCUGGGACCACACCCGCUGCCUCCCUCCAGACUCCUUAGGUCUAUGCCGUGUGCCUGGCUUUUUCCAACCACUCCGAAUUGAUCAUUUCCUAAUGACCACAUGGCUCAGAAACUCACAGCACAUCCUUCUAGGGGCCUCUUUCUCCCAAGUCCUCCCAGGGACUUGGCAGCUUCAUCUCUAAGGCCUGCAGAGGCUGUGGCUAUGGCUGUCCAUUGUUCUCGCUCCUUGGCUUCAGUUCAGAGCCAUCAAAUCCCUGCAGCUCGCACACUGGAACAUUCAUAUUUUGGAUAAGUCAACAAAACAGCUUCUAGAAAAUGGAAAACCCAGAGUGUGAUCUACCAGGAGCUCCUGGUUUCAACCAGUUCCUUGCUGUACCUGCUGGGCCUGUGAUACGAAGAAACAUCAUGGCUUCAAUGGCAGCCUUGGAAAUGAACUUCAUUGAAAGGGAAUUUACACUGAGGUUUAUGAUUGCUGCUAUGAAAAGAGUGCACAUCCUUUCCUUCGAAACACAAGACUAGAAAAAAAAAACUCUAAAAUUCAUACGGAACCACAGAAGACCCUGAAUAGCCAAAGCAAGCUUGAGAAAAAAGAUUUAAAAGAAAAGCUGGAGACAUCACAGCUCUUAGGUCAAAUUAUACUACAAAACUAUGGUAAUCAAAACACUAAGGUACUGGCAUAAAAACAAAUACGUAGACAAAUGGAACAAAACAGAUAGCCCAGAAAUAAGCCCAACCAUACAUGGUCAACUAGUUUUCCACAAAGGCACCAAAGAAUCAUAAUGAGGAAAGGAUGGCCUCUCCAAUAAAUGACCUUGAGAAAACUGUAUAUCCACAUGCUAAAAAAAGAAAAAAAAAAAAAAAAAGGAAAUUGGACCCUUCUCUUCCAACAUGCACAAAAAUCAACUCAAGAUGGACUAAAGACCUAAAUGUAACACCUGAAACCAUAAAAGUCCUAAAGGAAAACACACAAGAAAAACUCUAUGACAUUGGCCUUGGCAGUGAUGUUUUGGAUAUUUCAAGUUAACUCGUCAUUCACUGACUCCACAUAAAAUCCAUCCCUCAAAUAUUCUCAGAACCUAUCACCAAGACUGUGAUCACUUCUUUGGGAUGCUUUAAAGUUAAUUAGGAAAAAUAAAACUGGGUUUUACCUUUGAAAAACUUUCUAACUGUACUGAUGUGCUCAAAUAGAUGGACACAUGAAUGAAAAAUCCAGAAUUUAUUCUUUCCAUGUGGUCUAGGUCCCUCCAUAUGUUUCUCUGGAUUUUGCCAUUCACUGAAUGCACACGAACACUGAAUUUACUCUCUAUUGCUGUGUAACAAGUUAUUGUAAAAUGUAUUGGCUUAAAACAACAAAUACCAUUUUUGCAGCUUCUGUGGAUCAGGAAUCAUGAAGCAGCUUAGUCGGGUAUUUCAGGCUCAGGGCCUCUCAUGAGGUUGCACUGUAGAUGUGAGCCAAGGCUGCCGUCAUCUGAAGACUGGACUAGGGAUGGAAGCUCUGCAUUUGGGAUCAUACUCAUGGCUGUGGCCCGGAGGCCUCAUUUUUUCACCCUUGGGCCUCUCCGUGGGGCUGCUGCCAACAGGGCCUCCCUAGAAGGAAUGACCCAAGAAGAAGAAAGAAAGACCAAGCUAGAAACCACCGUGUCUUUCAUAACCCAAUAUCAGGAAUGAAGAAGCACCUCUUCUGUGUUCUUUUGGUCUCGCAGACCAACCCUGGUACCAUGUGGAAGGAAAUUACACAAGAGUGUGACUAUCAGGAAUUGAGGAUCACUGGGGCACCUGGAGGCUGGAGUCUACAGGUACUUUAUGGCGAGUCAUGGCGAUGGUGAGGAAGCAGCUACUUUCAUCACAGGUAAAAACUGAUACACAAAACACACAAACAGAGAGGAGCCCUAUAUUUCUGCUUCUCCUUCAGGGUGAAUAGCAGCCACCAUUCACCCUACCAGAGAGAUGUUCUUUAUUUUUUUAUUGCUGGCUGGAUCUUAGGCAAAAUAAGCCUCUCCUGUUUCCCCAGUUGAGGACAAUUGAGAAAGGCUUAUGUUUGCCAAAGAAUAUCUCAUGCUAGCAACAAAACUUUUAAGGAAAUAAUUACAGAAAGCACACAACACCCUACAGUGAGCAGAACGCAGCUCCUUCCCUCCACCCACCUCCCCACUACAGAGAAUGAUCCAGCCCAAUGCCAAAAGCACUGAAGCCGGGAACCCUGACUGAGAUCUCAGCUUCAAUGCUCCUUCCUCAGAGACCUUUCUGUCCCUGACCUUUCUGAGGAGUAUACCCUCUUUUUAUGGGCCCUCAAAACCCCCUCCCUGUGGCAUUUGUUUUAGUUAACAAUUCUACACUUAUGCAUGUGAAUUUGUGAUUAGCAUCCAUCUCCCCCAUCACAGUUAUGAGGGCGAGAGCUAGUUUCCUCCCUGUUGUGCAGGGCACAUAGCACAACGCCUGGCCCCGUAGUCAGGCUCACUAAAUAUUUGCUGAAAGUAGAAAUGAAUAAACAGGACUGUAGCUUCUAGGGGCUUCUGUGGGAGCCAGUAUCGCCAUUCAUACCUGGGGAUUAUGGGAUAUUUUCAACAAAAACAUGCACUUUGCACAAAGUGAAAGUCAGAGCCUGGAGCCUGUGCAAACGGUGCCUUGAGCAGCUCUACGGCGAGUGUGAGGAUGCAGUCAGGGGUCCUUCAGCAGGAGCCGGGGCAUCCUGCAGAACACAGGGCCGGGAUCUUCAGAUGUGCAGCAGGGAGGGGGCUUGGCACAGCCCCAUGAGUUUGAGAAGCUUGAGGCAUUAAGGUGAGUUUCUUGUGGUGCAGCGCGCCAGCAGUGAAGGGAAGUGGUUCUCUCUCCCCUCAUGCACAGACACGCACAAUGUCCAGGAUCCAGGCAGAGAAGCUUCAUCAAAGUUGUCUGUGUUUUGCCGCAGCCGAAUAAAAGCUGUAGGCUUUUCUAAGAAGGGUUAUAAAAGGGAGCAGCCGUGAAGCCCGUGGACAAGUCAUCAAUUACAGCAAUUACAGUAGCACCAUAACCUUCCCAGGCUUGCUGGAGGGAGGUUGCUGUGGCCACAGGAGGUGCACCGCGGAUUACAGGACUAAAGGCCUUCUCUGCUUCUUCACAGUGAUCCAUCUCUGCCCAGCACCCAAGUACUGAGUUAACCUACAACGUGGUUCAGAAUUAAAACAUAAAAUGCCAGGGCCCUCCCCCAGUUAGCAGUAUUGGUUGGAAACAUGUUUAGCAGUGAGUAACAGAAGUCCCAAGAAAUAAUGGCUAAAACAAACAAGAGUAUGUGUCUUCACAUAGUAAGGUAUCAAGAGGUGGCUGUCACUUUAAGUUCACUUUCUCAUGGAUGCCAUCAAACACCAGGUUUAUUCAACCUUCAUGCACUGCCAUCACCUUCCCAUCCACGGACUCUUCCGACAUCUGCUGAACGUCAUCACAAGGGGGCUGCCAUAGCUCCACCCGUUGUAUCAGCAUUCAGGGAAGGAGGACAGUGCCAACAAUAUGUCUGCUCAUUUUUUUAAGAGAGGAAAAGACUCUCCUGGAAGUCCACGGCAGCAUUAUGCUUACUUCUUACUUGCCAGAACUUUGUCAUAUGGUCAGACUUUAAAGCAGAGAGGCCUUUGCUGUCAGUGGAAUACAGCAACACACAAGACAGACACAGUUGCCUUCCCGCUGAGGCUGGACGUCUACAAAGAAACUCUGGACAGCUAUUUGCCAAGGCGAUGGGCACUACAGAUGAGACGCACAAAUGAUAUGACUCAUGGGUGACGCUGGGCAAACCUCGGUGGUUGAGUCCUGUUGGGUUUUCUCAUAGGAGGUGCUUCCAGGAACAUUCUUGUGCAAGACCGUGUGAGAGUAUCUCCAAGAUAGACAAGUGGAAGUGAAAUUCUGGGCCAUAGUGGAUGAACACUUGCCAAGAGGUGUUGACAAAUUAGUCUUAAAUGAACCUGUACUGCAUUUUAAGGCCUGGGAGCUCUUAGUGGCCCCAUCCUUUCCAAAGCUUGUGUGGUUGGCCGAGUAAUGUCUUCCAAGAUGUCCAAUUCCCAAUCCCUGGAACUUCUGAAUGCUAGCCUGUAUGACAAAAGAGACUCUGAAGCUGGGAUUAAGUUAAGAAUCUUGAGUGGGGAGAUUAUCCUGGAUAAUCCAAAUGGGUCCUUAUAAGAAAGAGGCAUGAGAUCAGAGAACCAGAAGGUGAUGUGAGGAUGGAAUCUAAGAGAGAGUUGAGGAUGCUGUGGCUGCUGGCUUUGAAGGUGCAGGAAGGGCCAUGAGCCAAGGAAUGUGAGAAAUGGAGCUGGAGUUGCCAGAAAAGGCAAGAACAGGGAAUCUUCCUGAGAGGCUGCAGAAGGAGCCAGCUGUGCAACACCUUGACUUUAGCCCAGCGAGACUGUUUUCCAACUUCUGAGCUCCAAAACUAAAUUGGAGGCAGAAGGUUACCAACAUUGCCUGGUGUCCAGCCAGGAGGUAGAGCGUGGUGGCAUCCAGAACCUUCCUCCAACUCCUGCCUGGCGUGGUUUUUAUUCAUCUUUGUAUUCCCAAGAAACUUCUCAGUGUCUCAGGAGUGUUAGGCACUCAAGCUUUCCAAGGUGAAAGUGUUGGACACUCUUUCUUCAUCUCAGAUUUAAUCAACUAAGAAUGCUGCAAAUUGAACACCAGUCCACAAAACUCAGGAAUACAUGAAAAGCAUUGUGCCUUAUUUUUAACUAACUCAAAUUCUAUGUCAGUCUCCCUUUUAUGCUGGAUGUUGGCGCUAAAUCUCAGUGGGUUCCUCAUUCUGCCAGACCUGUGUCCAGUUUGGGGGCUUCACAUAGAGCCACCCCAUCACAGGAGAGGGAAGGGUCUUGCUCUUGGUUGCCAUCACUCCACCCUCUUGUCUUCCGAGCUUUGAUGUUCACUUUCCUUUUCACCACUCGGAAGCUUCCUGCCAUGAUACAUUGAGACCUCAAUGUUAAUGCCAAUUGGGGU